CCUACGGGAGGCAGCAGUAGGGAAUCUUCCGCAAUGGACGAAAGUCUGACGGAGCAACGCCGCGUGAACGAUGAAGGCCCUCGGGUCGUAAAGUUCUGUUGUUAGGGAAGAACAAGUGUUAGUUGAAUAAGCUGGCACCUUGACGGUACCUAACCAGAAAGCCACGGCUAACUACGUGCCAGCAGCCGCGGUAAUACGUAGGUGGCAAGCGUUGUCCGGAAUUAUUGGGCGUAAAGCGCGCGCAGGCGGUUUCUUAAGUCUGAUGUGAAAGCCCCCGGCUCAACCGGGGAGGGUCAUUGGAAACUGGGAAACUUGAGUGCAGAAGAGGAAAGUGGAAUUCCAAGUGUAGCGGUGAAAUGCGUAGAGAUUUGGAGGAACACCAGUGGCGAAGGCGACUUUCUGGUCUGUAACUGACGCUGAGGCGCGAAAGCGUGGGGAGCAAACAGGAUUAGAUACCCUGGUAGUCCACGCUGUAAACGAUGAGUGCUAAGUGUUAGAGGGUUUCCGCCCUUUAGUGCUGAAGUUAACGCAUUAAGCACUCCGCCUGGGGGUAGGUACGGUCGCGAGACUAGAAACGUUAAAAGGUAAAGUUAGUACGGCGUGAGACGUGCCGAACGGACGACCGACCGAGGGGAGGUAGG
rnacentral:rRNA from 1 species